ensembl:lncRNA
UUUGUCUCUAUUUUUUAUGUUACAAAUAUUUGUGGAAUUCUCACAGGUUCUCUUUCUAAAAUUGGCUUUUUGAAAAUUCUCAGAGGGCCCCAAGAAAAACUUCAAGUUUUAAUAUUUUCUCUAGAAGUCAGAACAUUCAUCACUCUGCAAAGGCAAGAUGAUGUCAACAUCAUUGUGUGCAAAAGCCACUGAAUAUUUCAUAUAUUUUCUUAAGUUUAUCAAAAAUUUAACAAGUUUCAUAAGCAUUUAUUAAAGGAAAAAUGUUACAAUCAUUGAACAGGGUGAUAAACCCUUAGGGGUUCAUUAUACUAUUUUCUCUACCUUUUUGUUUAUAUUCAAAAAUUCCUACAGUAAAAUGUACAUGUUUUUUAAAAAGUGGUGUGUACAGAUUUUACCUCAGAGUUUUCAAGAUAAUAUUUCAUACACUUGAUUUCAAUUACUUAGUGAUGGCCUUUUUCUAUUAGUAAAAUACAUGUUACACUAUAUUUCUGAAAAUUUUGAAUUACAUUUAAUUUUUUUCUACAUUUUCUGCAUUUGAAAAAGCUCUUCUUGGAGUUCCCGUAGUGGUGCAGUGGUUAACGAAUCCGACUAGGAACCAUGAGGUUGCGGGUUCGGUCCCUGCCCUUGCUCAGUGGGUUAACGAUCCGGCGUCCUACAAAUGGAAAUGUUUAUGACAGUGCCUUGUAAAAUGAAGCAUUCUACAAAUGUUGCUAUUAUCAUUUUAAGCAUAUUUGAGGGCAAUGCUAGGAAGGGGCUCCUGAAGGUAGGAAGCUUUUGUAUGAGAUUUGGUAGAACAAAUAUUUGGAAAUAAAAAUUGGAAACAAAGGUGGAGUAGGUGAAAUCCACCCCCACAAGAAGAUGCUGCUGGACAGGUUUGUGCACUGGCAAAUACUUAUUUUGCAUCGCAUUGCCACAGACUCAGUGAACUAAGCCACACAUUUAAAUAUUUGAAACGUCCCAACAGUCUUAUUUAACAGGUACGAUGGUUCUUUGGAGUGUGGAGAAACUCAUGGGACAGCCUUUCUUUUGGGGGCAUAAAGACAGAGACUGUGGCCGUAAUGAAAACUGACUUGAAUACUGUAAAAAGCAAAUAUUCAGUAACAGUAAAAAAUGCAACUGAGUAAAGAAAUAAUAUACCACACAGUGCAAAUUAUGUCACUUUAGAAUUUCUCCGUAUUACUUUGCAAGGCAACAAAAGUAUGUACUGUUUUUCCUUACCAGCCAGCUCAUCAACUAGUGUCAGAAAGAACAGGGCCCCCAGUCAUGUGCUUUGGAUCACAGUAGGGAUAUUAGCAGUUGACAUAGUUGACAGAAGACAGUGACUUAAAUAAUCUUGAUAGAGGGCAUGAAACCAAAAAGGGAUUUUUGUAGAAGUUAUUUUGAGAAAAUUAAAUUGGAAAAAAUAUGUCAAGGAGGGUAAUGUAAGGAAGGCUUAAAAGUGUUGUUCUUCUUUCAAGCAUGACUUCCAAACUAUUUUUAUGUAACAUCUGGUAUUGUCAAAGAGGUAAUAGUGUUCUGGACAUAUACCUUCCAUCACAUUUCUUAAAUAAGGGUACUUUGUAUUUUAUCAGAAAUGUGCAUGUUAACAUCUGCAGUUUAGUCUUUGUCAAAAGACAUGCAAGUAGGUAUUAUUCACAUUAUGUGGGCUGCCUCAGAAGAAACGCUCAGUCCAUAACACGCUCCCUUGAAAAGUAAAAAAUAUUUAUUUGUAAGGUAAACUAUAGCAUUGGUAUCUUUUGAUAUUUUAAAUAGGAUUAAUAUUUUUGCACCUCUAUGGGUUUCCACACUAUCAUGCAAAUUUCUGGCUUGCUUUUAACACAACAGUCCAAUUUCUAUUGCCUACAUAAUAGGGUGUACCCAUUUUAAUUGCUCUCUUUUGAAAAUAUCACCAGGCAGUUCAGAAUACCUCAUUUAUUGAUAAUAUCAUGACAAUCAAGGACCUUAAUAUCAGCCAAUGAUAACAAUAAGGAAUAGGGCAGAAUAGAAUAAUGGAAUGUAUGGGAUUGUCAUUUUCACUCAAUCUUGAACCAUUUGCAAAUGUUUUCUACUCAAGCUAUGUAUUUUAGAGAAGUACACUUAGAUAUAGAUAUCACUAAUGGAGAAAAACACUUCCUUUAAGCUCAGAAUUCCUUAGGACUAAAUGUUAAUCAAUACACAUUUUAUAUAUAAUAUGUACAGGCUUUGUAAUCAAGUGCCACACAAGUAGGGCACACAUAUUAGUUACCUUGGAUUUCAAAGGUUAUGUGUCAACUCUGCAUAUUAUGUGCCAAGGAGAUACUAUCAACAUUAUUUUUUGCAUAAUGUGCAAGUAUUAUAUGGCCACAGAGUGUAAUACAAAUUAGUGGCAAAGUGCUGAGGGAAGGAAUCCAUGACAGAUUCAGAUGCACAAGGUUGAAUAUUACCCGUAAACUACCUGACUCUGCUAAGGUCUUAACAGCACGAAGCGCUAUGUCAUGCCCAGCUUUUAAAAGUCUCUGAAAUACUUGGACAGGAUGAAGCUUGUUGAAGGAAUUUUACCACAGCCAUUGGCAGCACUGGGAAUGGUAUGAGCAAAUGAUGACAUUGGGGGAGCUCAAUGUGGAAGGUAAUGCAGACAAAUUGUUUGCAAAAUGUGCCAUCUUCCCUGAAAAAUAAUUUUGCUCACUCCAUCAUGACUAUCCUUGUUUAUUGACAUGUGCUUUGUUUUUUUUGUUUGUCUUAAAAUACAAAGUGAGCAAGAUUGUGCUGCUUUCUUUAAGUUAGAGGGUCUGAAUGAGAAUUUUAUUAGUAUUGUCAUGUUGAUGUCUUACACACACUCAUCAAUUCACUGAAAAUGUUAUUUCCAAAGAAGUUAGGUUACUGUGAAUGAGAAAAUCUUCUGUGCAACCUAAAUUCUUCUAAAAAAGUUAUUAUUAAAAUUUGACACCUUAUAGUAGGUGUUGUGCUCUUUAAAAACAAUCGAAAAACACCAACAAAAAAAACAUACCCUUUGCUCUGGCUUUUCCCCUUAAACUCAGAGAAAAGAAAGAAGAUUUUUUUUUUUUUAAAACGUCAUCGUAUACUAGUUUCUAUUUAUUAUUUUCCAAUACAUGUUAAAAUCUAGUUUCUAUUUUAACUCAACUUCCUUUUGCUUAAAUGAUUCUCUGAAUCCUAGUCAUAAGAAUGUUUAAAAGCUGUUCUCUCAUUUAAUAAAAAGAAUUGAAAAUUUUUUCAAUAUAAUUUUAAAGUUUACAGCAAACCAGCUGCCUUUGGAGUAGUUCAGCUGUGCUUCAAAGGUAGACAGGAACUUUGAAAGAUGAAUUGGUAGUUUCCAGGGAUGCUAUUUUAGUUUCUUAAGUUCAAUAAAGCAGUCCAGUUGCCUGCCUAUGAGAUCAGGACCCAGGGUAAAGAUAGAGAGUGGGUGAUUUCAGAACCAAAGGAACCCAGACACCCCAUAACAAAUAUGAACUCUUAAAAAGAAGCAAAAUACAAAAUGAAUGUAAAAAAAAUAUUUAAAAACUGCAACACUGGCCUCAAUCAUUUCCAUGACUCUCAUUUCCACACUUCAUUUUAUACCUUGGGAGUUUACUGAGUUUUAUGUUGCAAGAGUUUUGACGAGCAUGUUUAAAUUCCAGGUGUGUUAUUCUUAUUUUCUUCAUGGAGUUCUUAUAGAUAUAACAUAAACAACCAAAUGAGCUCAGAGUUUUGAAGUUAUAUUCCAUUUACAACUUAAAAAAAUACAUUGCUUACUAAGGAGUUUUUAUACAGAAGGUCCAUUUUCCCCCUUACUUAUGUUACUAUUAAUGGCCUUUAAAAAUACUUAUACAUCAGAUAAAAAAAAAACUGUUGCCAUGAUGGAAGUGUUGUGAAGUAAAUGCAAAUGAAUCCAUUCUAAGCACAUACUGCUAAAGACUGAUCUGAUGUCUUUGCUGGCAAGUCCUUUUUUUGACGAUCCUGCUAUCUCUUGUUUGCUAAGUAAAAUGUUAACCCAAACCAGAUUAUCGUCUUCUUUUGUUAAACUUUAAAAAUGAGCAUGUGUCUGUGAUUUAAAUUUACAGUGUUUUAAGUGACUUUUUCAUUGCUCUUUUUAAAAUCAGUAAAAUAUCAAGAAAGUAUUCACAUGCAUCUAACUGAGGACCAUCUUUGACUCUUUUAUGUAACUUCACAUAAGCAGACAAACCCUACCAUGUCAUACCAUAACAAACAAUUUUAAUUGUGUAGUUACAGUCAAUAACCACUCCUAAUCAGAACAUUUCUGCAUAAAGAAAAUUGUGAUACACUUAUAAAAACAGCCAGCUGUAACAAAAUAGCUGGUGUUUUCAUAGCCAUAAACUCAUAAAAAAGAAAUACACCUUUAUACAGAAAUUUUAU